rnacentral:rRNA from 1 species
UAGGGAAUCUUCCGCAAUGGACGAAAGUCUGACGGAGCAACGCCGCGUGAGUGAAGAAGGAUUUCGGUUCGUAAAACUCUGUUGUUAGGGAAGAAAAAAUGUAUAGUAACUAUAUACAAAAGAGACGGUACCUAACCAGAAAGCCACGGCUAACUACGUGCCAGCAGCCGCGGUAAUACGUAGGUGGCAAGCGUUGUCCGGAAUUAUUGGGCGUAAAGCGCGCGCAGGUGGUUUAGAAAGUCUGAUGUGAAAGCCCACGGCUCAACCGUGGAGGGUCAUUGGAAACUAAUAAACUUGAGUGCAGGAGAGAAAAGUGGAAUCCCUAGUGUAGCGAUGAAAUGCGUAGAGAUUAGGAGGAACACCGGUGGCGAAAGCGGCUUUUUGGCCUGCAACUGACACUGAGGCGCGAAAGCGUGGGGAGCAAACAGG